UAGGGGGAAUGUAUAGUCCUCUUAUGAGGCUAGUGUGUUUUGAGAAAAGUAAAAUAAACAUAACACCAACUACGUUGGAUAAAAUUCUAGAUAGAAUACUGAUCAUGACUAUUUUCUAUCUAUAUGUCUUGACCAAAUUACGUGCCAGCAGUCGCGGUAAUACGUAGAAGACUAGUGUUAUUCAUCUUUACUAGGUUUAAAGGGUACCUAGACGGUAUUAUAAACCCCUAUUUGGGUAAUUUUUUUACUAGAGUUUGAUGGAAGAAAGGAGUGGUUAGGGAGUAGAGAUAAAAUUCUUUGAUACUUUAGCAACUGAUAAAAGCAAAAGCGCCUUUCUAUGUAAUAACUGACGUUAAGGGACGAAGGCUUGGGUAGCGAACAGGAUUAGAGACCCUGGUAGUCCAUGCAGUAAAUGAUGAAUGCCAUAGGCUAGAAAUAAUAUUGAAGUACAUAGUAUUUACUUCUUUAGUCUAUAAAUGAAAGUGGAAGCAUUCCACCUCAAGAGUACUGUGGCAACGCUGGAACUGAAAUCAUUAGACCGUUUCUGAGAACAGUAGUGAAGUAUGUUAUAUAAUUCGAUAGCCCUCGAAAAAUCUUACCACAACUUGAAUGGUAUCCAUUUUAGAUGUUUAUGGCAUCAAAUGGGUGUUACAAGCGUUGCACGGUUGUCUUCAGCUAAUGUCGUGAGAUUUGGUUAGUUCCAUUAAAUUAGCGUAAACCCCGGCUUUAUUUUUUAAUUAUUAUGAUAAAGCAGUUCGUCAAAAUAAUGAUAUAUGAUAA
rnacentral:rRNA from 1 species